UUCAACAAAGUCAAUGUAAUUGAUUAAAACCCCAAAACCAAACAAAGACACAAAUAGAGAUCAAAUCCAAACUAAAUAACAAAUAAAUUCGAAAAUAAAUUGGAAAACCUACCUAGAUAAGUUGAAAAUCAAACAAAAAAACUCAAAUAAUUUUAGACAUUGACCCCUUGUUUCAGUUCCAAACCAAACCCAAACUUAUUGCCUUCUUCUCGUCCUCCUCACCUUCUCCGACCAAACUACCUUCGUUCUCACCAUUUCCGACAAGCUUCAACCAACAACUAUAAAUGAGAACCAACAACAANN
rnacentral:lncRNA from 1 species